rnacentral:rRNA from 1 species
CUACGGGGGGCUGCAGUAGGGAAUAUUGGACAAUGGGCGAAAGCCUGGUCCAGCAACACCGCGUGCACGAUGACGGCCUUCGGGUUGUAAAGUGCUUUUAGAGGAGAUGAGAAAGGACAGUAUCCUCUGAAUAAGCCUCGGCGAACUACGUGCCAGCAGCCGCGGUAAAACGUAGGAGGCAAGCGUUAUCCGGAUUUAUUGGGCGUAAAGCGCGUGCAGGCGGUCUAGCAAGUUGGAUGUGAAAGCUCCCGGCUCGACUGGGAGAGGUCGUUCAAUACUGUUAGACUAGAGAAUAGGAGAGGGAGGUGGAAUUCCGGGUGUAGUGGUGAAAUGCGUAGAUAUCCGGAGGAACACCAGUGGCGAAAGCGGCCUCCUGGACUAUUUCUGACGCUAAGACGCGAAAGCUAGGGUAGCAAACGGGAUAGAUACCCCAGUAGUC